ensembl:snRNA U4 U4 spliceosomal RNA
AGCUUUGCGCAGCGGCAGUAUCGUAGCCAGUGAGGUUAAUCCGAGGCGCGGUUAUUGCUGGUUGAAAACUUUUCCCAAUAUUCCGCCAUGACGACUUGAAAUACAGUCGACAUUGGCAAUUUUUGAGAGCCUUUUUACGGG